rnacentral:lncRNA from 1 species
GAUUGUUCUACAAGCUACUAUACGGAAAUGACUUGUUCUAUUAGCUACCAAUAUAUGAUUAGCUUUUUGGCCAAGUUUCUAACCUACAAAUACAUCUAAAGUCAAAAUUGCAUCUAUGAAGCUUUUAGGAAGCUUUUCUAGAAGACUUUAUGAAAUUAUUCUAUUUUACCUACUUCUACUUAAUCAUAUAAAUAACUAUUGAAGUAAAUAUAUAUGUCCAUGUCACCAAAUCCUAAUCAAAUCCUAAAUAAAUCUUAAUCAAAUCUUAGAAAAAUUAUAAAUAAGCCUUUAUCAAAUCCUAGACAAAUCCCAAUCAAAUCCUAAUCGAGUCUUAAUCAAAUCCUAAACAAACUCUAACCAAAUCCUAAACAAAUCCUAAUCAAAUUUUAAUCAAAUUCUAAUAAAAUUCUAAACAAAUUCUAAUCAAAUCCUAAAUAAGUCCUAAUCAAAUCUUAGACAAAUCUUAGUCAAGCUUAAAUCAAACUAAAACCCUAAUCCUAACCCUAAACCAAAUCCUAAUCAAAUCCUAAUUAAUCUAAAGUAAUUCCUAUAUUAGAUUUAAACCUCAAUAAUUAAUGAAUGAACUAUUGAUUUUAAUUCAGAAAUUACACAUCUCUUAAUAAUUAAGUUGACAAAAAGUAAAAAUAAUUAAAAAAAGAUCCAAAUCACCAAAAAGAAGAUCAAUCCUAAAAACUGUUCAAGUAUUGGCCGCCGUCCUACUCAAAUCUAAAUGAUAAAGUUCCAAUGGCAAAAUUUCUCUUUCAAACUAUUCAAUUAUUUUAAAAUUAAUAUAUAUA